AGUCGAGGGGCAGCGGGGGCGAAGCUUGCUUCGCCUGCCGGCGACCGGCGCACGGGUGAGUAACACGUAUGCGACCUGCCCCCCGCAGGGGGAUAACCGGGAGAAAUCCCGACUAAUACCGCGUAACGCCGCGGGGCUGCAUGGCCCCGCGGCCAAAGGAAGCGAUUCCGGCGGGGGAUGGGCAUGCGGCGCAUUAGCUAGUCGGCGGGGUAACGGCCCACCGAGGCGACGAUGCGUAGGGGUUCUGAGAGGAAGGUCCCCCACACUGGUACUGAGACACGGACCAGACUCCUACGGGAGGCAGCAGUGAGGAAUAUUGGUCAAUGGGCGUAAGCCUGAACCAGCCAAGUCGCGUGAGGGAAGACGGUCCUACGGAUUGUAAACCUCUUUUGCCGGGGAGCAACGGGGUCCUUGCGAGGGCCUUAUGAGAGUACCCGGAGAAAAAGCAUCGGCUAACUCCGUGCCAGCAGCCGCGGUAAUACGGAGGAUGCGAGCGUUAUCCGGAUUUAUUGGGUUUAAAGGGUGCGUAGGCGGGCUGUUAAGUCAGCGGUCAAAUGUCGGGGCUCAACCCCGGCCUGCCGUUGAAACUGGCGGCCUCGAGUGGGCGAGAAGUAUGCGGAAUGCGUGGUGUAGCGGUGAAAUGCAUAGAUAUCACGCAGAACUCCGAUUGCGAAGGCAGCAUACCGGCGCCCGACUGACGCUGAGGCACGAAAGCGUGGGUAUCGAACAGGAUUAGAUACCCUGGUAGUCCACGCAGUAAACGAUGAAUGCUAGCUGUCCG
rnacentral:rRNA from 1 species